rnacentral:SRP_RNA from 2 species
GCUGGGUGUGGUGGCACACACCUGUAAUCCCAGCUACUUGGGAGGCUGAGGCAGGAGAAUUGCUUGAGCCUGGAAGACGGGAGUUUGCAGUGAGCUGAGAUCGUGCCACUGCACUCCAGCCUGGCCAAUAGAGCGAGACUCUGCCUCAA